rnacentral:rRNA from 1 species
CAGUAGCCGCGGGAAUACGAAGGGGGCUAGCGUUGUUCGGAAUUACUGGGCGUAAAGCGUGCGCAGGCGGCUUUGCAAGACAGAUGUGAAAUCCCCGGGCUCAACCUGCGAACUGCAUUUGUGACUGCAAGGCUAGAGUGCGGCAGAGGGAGAUGGAAUUCCGCGUGUAGCAGUGAAAUGCGUAGAUAUGCGGAGGAACACCGAUGGCGAAGGCAAUCUCCUGGGCCUGCACUGACGCUCAUGCACGAAAGCGUGGGGAGCAAACAGGAUUAGAUACCCGUGUAGUCCCUGUCUCUUAUAC